UACGUAGGGUCCGAGCGUUGUCCGGAUUUACUGGGCGUAAAGAGCGCGCAGGCGGUCGUGCAAGUCGCGUGUGAAAGCCCCCGGCUCAACUGGGGAGGGUCACGCGAUACUGAUCGACUCGAAGGCAGGAGAGGGUAGUGGAAUUCCCGGUGUAGUGGUGAAAUGCGUAGAUAUCGGGAGGAACACCAGUGGCGAAGGCGACUACCUGGCCUGUUCUUGACGCUGAGGCGCGAAAGCUAGGGGAGCAAACGGG
rnacentral:rRNA from 1 species